rnacentral:lncRNA from 1 species
AUGGAGGAAUCCAGCUCCUGGCCACAACAGGAGGCUGCCGGCAGCAUGGCCGUGGUGUCAUGGCAUGUCGGCACAAGCACUGAUUUUGGGGGACCCCCCUGUAUUGUGUUUGUUCAUCCCAUCGCUGUGCACGGCCACCUGGGUGACCUGGGGAGCCGGACAGCCCAACCCUGUCCUCCGGCAAGCCUGGGAAGUUCGUCCCUGGUGCACCAAAACCGGACCUUGCAGAGGGAUGUGGCAACGCGGCCGAGCUGCUGGGGCUGCCCGCACGUCUCCAGCUGUCAGCGGAGCCAUGGAGAGGGCACGUGGCUCGCGGGCGAUGCGGUCGGAGCUGUGCCCCUUCCUCCUGCUGACUCGGCCCCCGUCCUGCUCGCCCACGAGCCGGGGGAGCAGCCGGGCUGUGCUGUUCCGGGCAGCGCUGAGAUGCUGCGGCCGGCGUUGCGCAAGGGGAAGGGAUGCUGCCGAAAUCCGCCGCGCCCGCCAGGGUGGAGGGGGGGAAGAGGAGAGAAAAAAAGAGGAGAGAAAUGUCCCCACGGCCUGGCUCGGAGCACAAAGCCCUGGGCUGUGUUUACCAAGAGAGGACCGAGUGCUGUUAAUGAGCACAGAGGCUCUCAGGGGGCCGGCGGGGCCAAGACCUCGCUGCCCAUCGCUCCUGGUGUGUGCUGGGGUGAGCUCAGCUCGCAGCGCUCUGCUGCCAGCCCCGAGGCCCAUUCGGUCCCAUCCUGCCUGGUGCUAGCUGAUAAGGAGCUGCGGAGGGCGAGGGACAGCUGGCGGGGCCGGCACCGGACCCAGCUCACAGACGGACGGACAGAGGCGUGCAGAUGGACAGACAGACAGGCGCCUGCUGGAGGCUGGUGGAGACCGGAGCCGUCCCGGAGCAGCGCAGCCUCCCCGGCGGGGUCAGGGCUCACCAGCUCAGUCCCUGCGGGCAGAAAACCAAGGAGACAGCACCAAAACCAGCGUGGGAGCUCGCUCUGCUCCCCGGGGCUGCGACAGGCACGGGGCUGGGGCUGCCGAGCCCUGCUAGCCAUCGGGGAGGCCCCGGCGUGGCCGUGA